UGGAGCCGUAUGAGGCAGAAGUCUCAUGUACGGUUCUCUGAGAAGGGAGUGGCUACCUACUUGAGC
rnacentral:ncRNA from 1 species